rnacentral:lncRNA from 1 species
UUUUCUCUUGAUUUCUUCAAUCAAAAACCUGAAAUCCACAUUCAAGGAAUGUCACUCCUUUGUUGGUAUAAACCUAAAGCAAGAUUUUAAACAUCAUGUGCUAAUCUGCAUUUUGCCAUCUGUUAAAGUGUAGCAUGUUAGUUUCGUGUCAGCUGUGGUUUUAAGGCAAUGGAGUUUCCAGCUCCUGCUAUGCCGCUCGUUGAUUUAGCCACUGAUUUGUCAAAAUAUUGAAUUCUUUUCGUUUGAGUGUGACUCCCUAAAUAUGAGCAGCUUCAUUAUGUUAGUUGUAUUUCUAUUCUU